CCUGCCGGACCUGACUGCUAUCGGAUUGAUACUAAGCCAUGCGAGUCUUUGUAGUAAUACAAGGCAGACGGCUCAGUAACACGUAGUCAACCUACCCUAUGGACAAGAACAAUCUCGGGAAACUGGGCAUAAUUCUUGAUAGAUCAUAAUGCCUGGAAUGGUUUAUGGUUAAAAUGAUUCGUCGCCAUAGGAUGGGACUGCGGCCUAUCAGCUUGUUGGUGAGGUAAUGGCCCACCAAGGCGAUUACAGGUACGGGCUCUGAGAGGAGAAGCCCGGAGAUGGGUACUGAGACACGGACCCAGGCCCUAUGGGGCGCAGCAGGCGAGAAAACUUUGCAAUGUGCGAAAGCACGACAAGGUUAAUCCGAGUGAUUUCUGCUAAAGAAAUCUUUUGCCAGUCAUAAAACCACUGGUGAAUAAGGGGUGGGCAAGUUCUGGUGUCAGCCGCCGCGGUAAAACCAGCACCUCAAGUGGUCAGGAUGAUUAUUGGGCCUAAAGCAUCCGUAGCCGGCUCUGUAAGUUUUCGGUUAAAUCCAUGUGCUCAACGCAUGGGCUGCCGAAAAUACUGCAUAGCUAGGGAGUGGGAGAGGUAGACGGUACUCAGUAGGUAGGGGUAAAAUCCUUUGAUCUCUCGAUGACCACCUGUGGCGAAGGCGGUCUACCAGAACACGUCCGACGGUGAGGGAUGAAAGCUGGGGGAGCAAACCGGAUUAGAUACCCGGGUAGUCCCAGCUGUAAACUAUGCAAACUCAGUGAUGCAUUGGCUUGUGGCCAAUGCAGUGCUGCAGGGAAGCCGUUAAGUUUGCCGCCUGAGAAGUACGUACGCAAGUAUGAAACUUAAAGGAAUUGGCGGGGGAGCACCACAAGGGGUGAAGCCUGCGGUUCAAU
rnacentral:rRNA from 1 species